AUAAAGCCACACACAUGUGUCAUGUCCUGCUCCUGUAGCUCCAGAACUUCUGGAGAAGCCCUGGAUGGCUCGGAGGCUGACCUCCAGGGUCGCUGGCCAUGCUGACACUCUCUGGGAAUGGCCCAGCCAGCCUACGGGCGGAAGCCAGUUCUCCUUCCCGGGGGCCCAUGUUCCUGCCUGGGGAAAGUGUGGCACAGCCUGAGAGAACAAGCUUGCCCUGUCACCUGCCCUGUCCCUGAGGGUCACAGACAGCUAUGAAUUCUCCAUCCCUCCACACCGGAAGCAGGAGUUUCUGUCCCUCCCCUGGAAUCCGGCUGUGUGGGGCCUGCCGAUCCAGCAGAAUGUGGGCGAAGUUUCUCUGUCCCCCCUCAGAGCACUGGCAGGUUCUGCUCCUGCCCUCUCGGGACCCAAGAAGAGACACACACGGAAAUUGGAACAGAACCCCGGGCAUCCCGGAGCUGAGAGACAGCACAGAGGCCAAGGUGUGUGUCUUGCGCCUUGCAUGCCGUCAACCCCGAUUUGCUCUCCAGAUGGCCCAGGGUGAUCUCUACGCACAGGGCCAGGAGGAAGCCCCGAGCACUGCCGGAUGUGGCCUCAGACAAACAAAAAGAGAACUUGGGUUUACCAUAACGUUAAGAAAUUAUUGCUGAACUGUUCUUUUAGUUUUGGGGCCUCUUCCCAAGUCAGGAGCCUUGGGGGUCCCUCCCGGUGAUUCUCGGCCAGUGGGACCAUUGGUUUGAUGAGAGGGUAUCAGGGUACGGCGUGGCUAUCUCUGCAAGGCAAGAAUUACCGAGGCAGAGCUUGGGGGCCCUCCAGAGCCAUAUCUGGUGGCGUCUGGGGGGCCUCAGGGCUGCACCCUGUGAUGUUCAGGGGACCAUGUCGUGCUGGGGAUCAAACCAACCCCAUGCAUGGUACGCACCUUACCCACUGGGCCCUUCUCCAGCCCCACGGCUAACAUUUUAGGUAUCAUUUUAUAUGAUAUAAUGACAUUGUGCUUAGGUCAAAUAAAAAUCCUCUGGGACAUAA